UUCCUGGUGGCUCAGUGGUAGAGAAUCUGCCUGCAGUGCAGGAGACCCAGGUUUGAUCCCUGGGUUGGGAA
rnacentral:tRNA from 1 species